rnacentral:rRNA from 1 species
GCAUAUCAAUAAGCGGAGGAAAAGAAACCAACAGGGAUUACCUCAGUAACGGCGAGUGAAGCGGUAACAGCUCAAAUUUGAAAUCUGGCCCUUUCAGGGUCCGAGUUGUAAUUUGUAGAAGAUGCUUUGGGUGUGGCUCCGGUCUAAGUUCCUUGGAACAGGACGUCAUAGAGGGUGAGAAUCCCGUAUGUGACUGGCUGCCUCCGCCCGUGUAAAGCUCUUUCGACGAGUCGAGUUGUUUGGGAAUGCAGCUCAAAAUGGGUGGUAAAUUUCAUCUAAAGCUAAAUAUUGGCCAGAGACCGAUAGCGCACAAGUAGAGUGAUCGAAAGAUGAAAAGCACUUUGGAAAGAGAGUUAAACAGUACGUGAAAUUGUUGAAAGGGAAGCGCUUGCAAUCAGACUUGCGCGCGGUCGAUCAUCCGGGGUUCUCCCCGGUGCACUCGGCCGCGCUCAGGCCAGCAUCGGUUUUGGUGGUGGGAUAAAGGCCUUGGGAAUGUGGCUCCUCUCGGGGAGUGUUAUAGCCCUCGGUGCAAUGCCGCCUACCGGGACCGAGGACCGCGCUUCGGCUAGGAUGCUGGCGUAAUGGUUGCAAGCGACCCGUCUUGAAACACGGACCAAGGAGUCUAACAUUUAUGCGAGUGUUUGGGUGUUAAACCCAUACGCGGAAUGAAAGUGAACGGAGGUGAGAACCCUUAAGGGUGCAUCAUCGACCGAUCCUGAUGUCUUCGGAUGGAUUUGAGUAAGAGCAUAACUGUUGGGACCCGAAAGAUGGUGAACUAUGCCUGAAUAGGGUGAAGCCAGAGGAAACUCUGGUGGAGGCUCGCAGCGGUUCUGACGUGCAAAUCGAUCGUCAAAUUUGGGUAUUAGGGGGCGAAAGACUAAUCGAAAUCAUCUAGUAGCUGGCUCUGCGAG